AUUGAACGCUGGCGGCAUGCCUAACACAUGCAAGUCGAACGAGUGGCGGACGGGUGAGUCAUGUCUGGGAAACUGCCUGAUGGAGGGGGCUACCUACUGGAAACGGUGGCUAAUACCGCAUACCAUCCGAUGUUCCCAGAUGGUAUUAGCUAGUAGGUGGGGUAAAGGCUCACCUAGGCGACGAUCCCUAGCUGGUCUGAGAGGAGGACCAGCCACACUGGAACUGAGACACGGUCCAGACUCCUACGGGAGGCAGCAGUGGGGAAUAUUGCACAAUGGGCGCAAGCCUGAUGCAGCCAUGCCGCGUGUCUGAAGAAGGCUUUCGGGUUGUAAAGGACUUUUGUGAGGGAAGCGGUACCUGAAGAAUAAGCACCGGCUAACUACGUGCCAGCAGCCGCGGUAAUAC
rnacentral:rRNA from 1 species